rnacentral:rRNA from 1 species
UGCCAGCAUCCGCGGUACUCCUUAUUGUGCAAACGUUGUUCGGAAUCACUGGGCUUAAAGAGCACGUAGGCGGUCAAGAAAGUCUGGUGUGAAAUCCCUCAGCUCAACUGAGGAACUGCACUAGAAACUUCUUGGCUAGAGUGCAGGAGGGGAGAGUGGAAUUCCUGGUGGAGCGGUGAAAUGCGUAGAUAUCAGGAGGAACGCCGGUGGCGAAAGCGACUCUCUGGCCUGUUACUGACGCUGAGGUGCGAAAGCUAGGGGAGCGAACGGGAUUAGAUA